rnacentral:tRNA from 1 species
CGGCCAGGUAGCUCAGUUGGUACGAGCGUCCGCCUGAAAAGCGGAAGGUCGGCGGUUCGACCCCGCCCCUUGCCACCCA